UGUAUAAAAUUUAAAUUUUGUUUUAUGGUUAGUUUAGAAAAAAAAAGUUUUAGGCAAUUAGAUUGAUCUAUUUUCGUAUAUUUUAAAACUAACCCAGAUAGAUAGUUUCUUAUAAUAUGAUGGAUUUUUAAUUUUUCUUAAUAACAUAAGCCCAUUACUUUUUUUCUUAAUACUACUAUCCUUGUAAUAGGAUGGAUCAUGUAUCUGUAUACACCCGCACGGAGGUACAAUCCUAUUUUUCAAAAUAGGUGUCAACAAUAAUACCCGCGCGGGUGCGUAUAUAUAACACUAUAUCUUAUUCAAUAUUAGAUACUAUUAAACUUGUUUGCGCAAAACAUGGUAACAAAUUAGUGCAGAAUAUUUAGCUGGUUGUGUAUUUUUAGGAUUUCUUGCUGAAAUCUCAUUGAUAUAUUAAAAAUAUAUUGCGCAUAAAUCGUUAAGGAAGGUGUAUUUAUUUGGUUUUAGUGUUUACGUGGAGAGAAAGAAUGAAUGAAACAGAAAGGUAAUAUUCGAUCUGUUAGACGGAAUAAUAUAUUUUCGGUCCCAAAUUAUGGUAACGAAAUGAUUUGGUGGUUAAGCAAGAUAUUUUCAAAAAGAUGAUCACAUGUUUCAUUUUAAAAACAUGAAAAGUGGGCUUACGUUUAAGAUUUUGUAAAUGGGCCACGUGAUUUAUAAUUUAUGGUAAAAGGGUUAUGUUUUUGAAAUUACUAAAAUGAAUCUAAUUAUACAUGUUUCCAAACACAUUUCAUUAAGACUGCUAUUUAAGUUUCCAAACAAUCCUAUUUUGUACUUGAGUUUUAAUAAGAUAGAUGAGCAUAACAUGUAGAAGCACUGUUAAAUUUUUUACUAAGAGCACAGUAACGUAACGAAUGUUCUGACUUUUUUUUACUGGUACACAGAGAUUUAAAUCAUUCUCUGAAUUAACAGUGGACAAAAUUCUGAAAUAAAUCAAUAAGUUUAAAAAUAAUCUCCUACCACCUUAAUUAAUAUGUAUGGACCUCUAAUAUAUGAAUUUACUUUAACACCUUUAAUGAAUUAACUAAAAUUAAAAUUUUUAUUGUUCGACAUCGUUUCUUCUCACUUGUGGGGUUCGUUUUCUCCAAAUCGCAGUUUUUCCCCGUCUUCAACUUUGAUGACAACACGAAGCAUCAUCUCGACAGUAACACACGGUGUCUCGGCAGGUUCUGUCUCAAAACCCUAACGAAUCCCAUCAUCUCAUCAACACCACCGCCCUCGCCCUCCUUACAUCACCGGCGACGGCUCAUCGCCGCAACACUUCUCUUCCAGCAACCUUGAUCCUCCGAUCAAAAUCUCUGCUGUUUCACAACGAUUUUGACGUCGUUAAUCUGCACCUGAGAGCUCAAUGUUCUCUCGACCAUCACCUGCUCUGCGUGUGUAGAAGUCAAUGUUGAUCGCCGAGAAAGUGACGCCUCGUUCCCAGAGAAAUGAUCAGACGGCGGUGGAGUCUGGCAGUUAGAUCUCAAGAAGAAAGUGAUUUGGCCUUCUGAUCCCAGCUACUUCGGUGUUCGGCGUGAAAUCGACUCUAUAACGUCUACAUUGUCUAUGAAGCUCUUCAUGCACUGUUGAUACACCCUAAAUUGAAAGAUCACUUCAGCUGGAUGUUGGAUAUGAUCCGAGAAGGCAAAUGACACUUCUGGAAUACUAUUGAUUAAAAUAAACAUAUUUAUUAUAUUUAAUCAAAUCACAAACAUGCGUAGUAUACAAAAAAUAAACAUAUUUCUUAUAUUUAAUCAAAUCACAAACAUGCAUAAUAUACAAAAAAAUUGCUUUUAAAACUUAAAUAUAAAAAGAAAUACAUUUGUAAAUUUUACCUUUCUCAUUUAAAACUUUCAAAAUAUAGAAAUUUCCAAUACACAAAAAUAUUUUUUUUGUUACUAAUUUGUUCACUUUGCAAGUUUAUAAUAAAUCAUAUCUAAUACUUAGACUAUUUACUUAUUUUUUCAUAACUAUGGUGUUUUAUAUAUAUUAUCCACAAUUUAUGUUUUUAUGCAAAUACAAAUUAACACUCCUUGGUAUCUCUUGACAACCAAGAAUAGUAGAGACAAACAUUAUUCAUGGUAUUAAGAAUAACUUUAACCAAACUGUAUUAUUAAUUUAUGUUUAAAAUUGAUGUUAAAUUUCCAAAAAAAUAAGAUUUUUUCCUGUACGUAGUACGGGACCGGUCAUAGUUUCAUAUGAAAUGACAAUCAAAUAUCUGAACUGAUAAGUGGUGAGAGAGAUUUCCUCUAUAAUUUUUUUUUUAAAAUUGACAAUUAUUCCACCAUCACACAUGUUUGCAUGAUCUAUCUUAUACUUUUAAGGUUUGUUAACAUCUUUGUCCACAUAAUUUUAGGAAAAAAUACAUGAAAUGUAUUUUAGCAAAAUUGAUGAUUUCAUUCUAUUGGGGGCAAUGAUAUGUACACAUAAAGAAGUGGUACAACUGAUGUAAGUUUAAAUUUUAUGUGGUACAAAUAGUUUUUUUGAUUUCACUGCCAAAGUAAAACUAUGUACAAGUCGAUAUAACUCAAAAACUAGUAUAACUAUGUACAAACCAGUACAACUAAAAUACUAGUACAACUAUGUUAUUUUAUUUUGUAUUGUGCAUCACAUUUUAAACGUGUAUUAUAUUUUAAACUAGAAGGGAUAAAUUAAUAAAAAUUUAAAUAUGAUAGAUUUUACAAAGGUAAAUAUUGUGUUAUCCCCCACGUGUAUUUUUAAUUUUUACAUUUGUGUAUAUUUUAAUUUAUAUGUCAAAAUUAUUAAAUAUAUUAUUUAGAAUUUUAGUUUUUAUAUUGUGUAACAUUAUAACAGUUUUUGUGUCUUUUUCAACAUACAGUAGAACUUCUAUUAAUUAAUAAUCAAUAAAUUAAUAAUUUCUAUAAAUUAAUAAUUUCUAUAAAUUAAUUUCGCAUGUCCCAUCUUGAGCUGUUUCAAAAUUUAUCACAAAUUGAUAAAAUAAUAAGAUAAUAACUUUUUAGAAAAUUCUAUGUAAAUCUAUGGUCCCAUUAAAAUUAUAAAUUAAUAAUUUAUAUGUAUACAUAUUUUAUAUAAAAAAACUUAUUAUUAUAUUUUUUGUUUUAUAUUCACAAAGAAAUUAUUGUUAUAUUUUCUUAUCUUUUAAUAUAUUUUGAUGAGAUUUAGUAAUAUUAUAUCUAAAAUCACAUUUAAGUUCUAUGAUUAUUGUAUUUACUGUAUAAUGAUUUCUGUUCUAUAUGCAAUAUUAAUAUAUUUUGUAACAUAUAGUACUUUAAAUUAUUAAACUAAAAUGAUUAAAUAGAAAAUCUAACCUAUACUAAAAGGAGAAUAAGCUCAAAGCUCAGCCUAUCCACGUUACCUAAGAAAAUUAACCAAUCAUAAGACUCUAUUUUGACACAUCACCUUGGCUAAAAUAGAGUGGAGUUUCGUAUGGGCUUUAUUAUAUUAUCGGUCGGCCCAUUUGAGCACAUGCCCAAAAAUCUGUUUCGUCAUCGUCUUCAAGCGUCAAGAGUCUCUCCCCCGACUCUUCCACUUCAUCUUCUCCAAUGUCUGGGUUUUUUUUUUCCAUUACCUUCUCAAUCAAUGAGGAUGUUAAAGCUAUUCUCCAACGUUUUGUUCCACCUACCUUUGAUACUUCUCCUAUAUAAAGCUCUACCUCUAACCUAAAUCCAUCCAGAAUCAAAAACCCUACUCUGCAGAAACUAAAUUGCAAUGAAAUCCACAACGAAGUCUCAGCUUACCACCGGCAUAUCUCCCGUCGCCGUCUAUUUCAACGACAUCUCACCAAGACCAGAUGAGUCACAGCUUCGGUUUCAGGUAAUCCAUCCUUUUAGCAGGCUUCUUCGUUUAAAUGUGGCUCUUUGCUUAUAUCUUCGUUUAAAACUGUUGUUAUUUCGUUUCUCAUGGUUUUGAAUCUAAAAAUGCUUAGAUUCUCUAUUGGUCUCUUACUCUGCUUAUAAAUUGGUUUCAGAAUAAAGUCGGCCAGGUAUGUGAUACUUAGCCACCUUGAGCACGUACACAUAUGUGUCUCACAAUGGAGAGAAAGUUGCUGUGAAAAUACAAAGAUCUGGACUAAAGUUUUCGAUAUAGAUCUAUGUAACAACUUUUGUGUUAUAUUAUACAACCUUUGGACAUGGAUGCUUUAUUUAUGCUAAAAAUGACAUAUUUUCUUAUCAGGAAAUUUGAUGUUGGUUGAUGAAUAUUUCUGGAAAAGUGAUCCAUUUGCCCCAAACGCCCCGGAUGGUAUUUACGAAAAAUGUGCCAUGUAAGUCUUUUUAACAUAAAGUAGUUAUAACUCUGGCUCUAAAACAUGUGGCGCUGAUAUAUCAAGAGUAAUGCUAAAGUGUCAAACUUAUAAUGGUUUCAAACUUAUUUUAUGGUUUGGCUGUUUUAGAUACUCCAAACCGCCUACUUUCAUGAUGUUUAAGUCAAUUUCAAUAAUCCUGAUAAUCAAGACAAAGCUUAACCACUGCUUGAAAAAAUAUUUACAAUCCAUUAUUUGUUCAAUUAGAUAUUUAAUCAUAAAUAAGAGACUAAAUCAUGUUAUUAUGUAUACACUAUAUAUUGUUCUCUGUUUGUAGCUUGCAGAUAACCAAAGUUAUGAGUCAUGAAACUUUUUUAAAGGACAGGUGGUGCGCUCUGGGAAUCACAGGAAGGAUCCUCAGUACCACAGUCUGGAUCACUUCUUUGACAGGUUCUAACAUGAUCAUGCCACUUUGGUUACACAUUGGGUCUUUUGAUUUUGAAAGUAUUUGAAUUUAUAUUAGUUCUGUGUUUUGAUAUAAGCCAGCCUCUAAAUGUAGACCCCAAAAACAUUUCUGAUAGUUUACAGCGUCUACAUUUAGAUCCGACAUGGGUUGUUGGUUCGAUGAGGCUAAAUAGUUAUAUUUACAUGAAGUUCAUGGUCGGCUUCAGUGCAAAUGCAAAGGUUACAAAAUAAAAUACCUGAUUUAUCUCCAUUUAUAGAGUUAGUUUCAUUACAAAGUUCUCUCUGUUUUCUUUGUUUGAUGAAAAUAUGUAAAUAAAUUGUAGGCAGCGAAUGUAUAUAAGAAGAAAGCUGAAAGUCCUACGAAAAAAUGGAUACAACAUGGUAUAGUUACUGGUAUCAGUUUCACAGAUUCUGUCUUCGUCCUCUUCAUUUCUUAUGUAGCCAGUUUGUAUGAUAUUGGCUCAAAUUAUUCUUUUUUGUUUUCUUCUCUAUGUUUCAAACAAUAGCUCUGUUUUGAGAGAGUGGAAGCUGUAAAUCAUCAGUAACUGUGGCAGAGGUUUAACGAUCCCAAUCAGGACAGACACUCUUCGCAGAGUUGAUAUUAAAGCCAUCAGUUGAAAAGGGUAAGGCAGCAAAGCAGGCUGGUAAGCCAAAAAUAAGUUUUGUACAGUGUAAAUAAACAGAGCAAACAUUGCUAACGGAAAAGGAGGAGAAGCCAGUGAAACCAGUAUCAUCUAUGUAACUGAGCUACCUAACGCUCAUGGCUUCAUUAGUGGACUGCAACAGGCCUAUGAUACAAUGGUGGGUGAAAGAGGACUUCAGUUAUCAGGCAGAAAAUAGUAGAGAGUGGUAGCCAUAGCAAUUUUUAAAGAUCCUAUGGUGUGGGCCGUGUGGUUUAGGGAUGAAGCAACAAUUACUGUUGAUAUUUAGUCAGAGUCUGGGGUUCAUGAGUUAAUUGCAUAGGUUAGAAAGAAAAGCAAGCCACUGAUCCCAAUAUAUGAGGGUCUCUAUGUUUCUUUAGUACAACUUCAUUUGACUGCUUCUGCGAAAACAUUUUUUAAGGGAUUACCUACCAUUUGAGCAAAUAUGGAAUUGACAGCAAACAUAUUUUUCAUUAUGAAUGAUUACAGAGCUUCGAGAAUGACAUUGACUUUCACAGAAUGUUAAAAAAAAUGAUCUAACAAAGCCAGUACAAUCCUAGCGAACCCUGCAAUGGCAGAACGCUGCAUCCAUUACGUCUUACAAGUAUAAAAGGGAUCACGGCAAUUCCUAGGCUACUUUGGUGAAAAGGUUCGCGGGAAUACAAAGAAUGAGGAAGAAAAAGAAUGCAGUACUGAGGACUCCUUUCUCUGAUCACCAUGUCCGUGAGCUGCUGUAUGUCUCCGUAAUUAAUAGAGACUCUUCAAAAUAUUUCCAUAUCGGAAAAGCCUGCCAAUACUUUCCUAACUUGAAUAGAACUUCGUUGCUUGAUUUGUUCAUAAUUAUUUUUUGGAUAUUACAUGGGUGAGGUGCAUAUAGCUUGGUGUCUCUCAAUGCUCAUCAGGUGAUAUCAAAAAUUUAUAACUGAUUAACCUCUAAUCCUAAAAGAAGAAGGUGAUGACGUGCUCUUAAUAUUAUCAUCAUGUCUAACUCAUGUGAAUUAUCAACUUAACAAACUCAUUAGAUGAUGUCAAAAAAAAAAACAAACUCAUUAGAUUCACUCUUUGGGUUAUACAGUCAUGUUCACCCGAAUUGAUUCAGAAAA